GAGGGUAUAGCUCAGUGGUAGAGCACAUGCUUAGCACGCACAACGAGAUCCUGGGUUCAAUCCCCAGUACCUCCA
rnacentral:tRNA from 1 species